AUGUCAAAUCAUCAUGCCCCUUAUGUCUUGGGCUACAAACGUGCUACAAUGGCGCACACAAAGUGAAGCGAAAACGCGAGUUGGAGCAAAACACAAAAAGGCGCCCCAGUUCGGAUUGCAGUCUGCAACUCGAGUGCAUGAAGUUGGAAUCGCUAGUAAUCGCGAAUCAGCAUGUCGCGGUGAAUACGUUCCCGGGCCUU
rnacentral:rRNA from 1 species